GAUGAACGCUGGCGGCGUGCCUAAUACAUGCAAGUCGAGCGAAAAGACGAGGAGCUUGCUCCUUUGACGUUAGCGGCGGACGGGUGAGUAACACGUGGAUAACCUACCUAUAAGUCUGGGAUAACUUCGGGAAAGCGGAGAUAAUACGGGAUAAUAUAUUGAACCGCAUGGUUCGAUAGUGAGAGACGGCUUUGGGGUAACUUAUCGAUGGAUCCGCGCCGGAUUGGCUAGUUGGUAAGGUAAAGGCUUAUCACGGCGACGAUGCGUAGCCGACCUGAGAGAGUGGUCGCCCACACUGGAACUGGGACGCCGUCCAGACGCCUACGGGAGGGAGCAGUAGGGAAUCGUCCGCAAUGGGCGAAAGCCUGACGCAGCAACGCCGCGUCAGUUAUGAAGGUCUUCGGAGCGUGAUACUCUGUUAUUAGGGAAAAACAAAUGUGUAAGUAACUAUGCACGUCUUGACGGUACCGAGUCAGAAAGCCACGGCUAACUACGUG
rnacentral:rRNA from 1 species